rnacentral:lncRNA from 1 species
GUUAUCUAUGUAUACAAAAUCAUUAAGUUGUCUAGGGAGGGUCUCAGACCAAAACCAACAGCCCCCAUGCUCUCCAGCAAAACAAGCCAAAAAAUUGGCUGGUUGAUUGGCCUGUCUGAAAAUGUGUGAAACCCAAAACUCCUGUAGCUGUGACACCAUGUGCCAUAUAUCAAGAGUACAUGGGUGGGCCUAUGCAAUGGAAGUUGGCUGCAUUGUAUCCAUUUAACCAUCAUGAGGGAGUCUCCCUCCAACCAAAAUCUGAGGGGUCAUAGUUGCGAAUUGCGAUAUUGCCAAUGUCAUAGCCUCCCACGUGGCACACAGAUCAGCCAUAGAGAUCGUUAUACCCAAAAUUGGGCAAGCUCUAACUGCUUGAACCUUGCCUUGGUGGUCUGGGACUAAGUAACCCACACCUGCUACCUUGUUGCAUUGCCUGAAGGAAG